UACGGAGGGUGCGAGCGUUGUCCGGAAUCACUGGGCGUAAAGGGCGCGUAGGCGGCGCGGAUAGUCGGCGGUGAAAGCCCGGAGCUCAACUCCGGGUCGGCCGUCGAUACUUCCGGGCUUGAGCACUGUAGAGGCAGAUGGAAUUCCGGGUGUAGCGGUGGAAUGCGUAGAGAUCCGGAAGAACACCGGUGGCGAAGGCGGUCUGCUGGGCAGUUGCUGACGCUGAUGCGCGACAGCGUGUGGAGCAAACAGG
rnacentral:rRNA from 1 species